GUAGGAUGUUACAUUUAUUUUAUUAUUACAUAUUUAUUUAUACUUUUUACAUUUCAUUUUGUAAUAAUCAGAACACAUAUCUCAGGACAGUGAAGAAAAUGUGGAGGAAUGUCAUGUUUUGUACCUACUUAAUAAAAUACAACAGCAUCAAUAUUAUCAUUCAGUCCCAUUAAACAAGCUACAACAAAGACUCCUAAAACGCAAGCUUGACAUUAUAUAAAACUAUUGGUACCUCUAUAACACUGUGGAGGAGGUUAGGAGUGAGGCAUGGAGGGAGGGGGUUGGGACUGAUGUAUUGAUAAAGGGCUACCAGACAGAUAGGGGUCUGAUAGAUCGAUAGGUGACUAGUUAUGGAGGAUAGGAGUCAAUAAUAGAUCAAUCCAUCGAUAGGAGACUAUGUAUGGAGGAUAGGAGUCAAUAAUAGAUCAAUCCAUCGAUAGCAGACUAGUUAUGGAAGGUAGGGGUCAAUAACAGCAGGAGGUAUUGGGUAGGUGACUAGUUAUGGAAGGUAGGGGUCAAUAACAGCAGGAGGUAUUGGUUAGGUGACUAGUUACGGGAGGUAGGGGUCAAUAACAGCAGGAGGUAUUGGGUAGGUGAAUAGUUACGGGAGGUAGGGGUCAA